GAUGAACGCUGGCGGCGUGCCUAAUACAUGCAAGUCGAGCGAACGGACGAGAAGCUUGCUUCUCUGAUGUUAGCGGCGGACGGGUGAGUAACACGUGGAUAACCUACCUAUAAGACUGGGAUAACUUCGGGAAACCGGAGCUAAUACCGGAUAAUAUUUUGAACCGCAUGGUUCAAAAGUGAAAGACGGUCUUGCUGUCACUUAUAGAUGGAUCCGCGCUGCAUUAGCUAGUUGGUAAGGUAACGGCUUACCAAGGCAACGGUGCAUAGCCGACCUGAGAGGGAUAGCCGCCACUGGAACUGAGACACGGUCCAGACUCCUACGGGAGGCAGCAGUAGGGAAUCUUCCGCAAUGGGCGAAAGCCUGACGGAGCAACGCCGCGUGAGUGAUGAAGGUCUUCGGAUCGUAAAACUCUGUUAUUAGGGAAGAACAUAUGUGUAAGUAACUGUGCACAUCUUGACGGUACCUAAUCAGAAAGCCACGGCUAGCUACGUG
rnacentral:rRNA from 1 species